rnacentral:rRNA from 1 species
AUUGAACGCUGGCGGCAGGCUUAACACAUGCAAGUCGAACGGUAGCAGGAGGAAGCUUGCUUUCUUGCUGACGAGUGGCGGACGGGUGAGUAAUGCUUGGGAAUCUGGCUUAUGGAGGGGGAUAACUACGGGAAACUGUAGCUAAUACCGCGUAAUAUCGAAAGAUUAAAGUGUGGGACCUUCGGGCCACAUGCCAUAAGAUGAGCCCAAGUGGGAUUAGGUAGUUGGUGAGGUAAAGGCUCACCAAGCCUGCGAUCUCUAGCUGGUCUGAGAGGAUGGCCAGCCACACUGGAACUGAGACACGGUCCAGACUCCUACGGGAGGCAGCAGUGGGGAAUAUUGCGCAAUGGGGGGAACCCUGACGCAGCCAUGCCGCGUGAAUGAAGAAGGCCUUCGGGUUGUAAAGUUCUUUCGGUAUUGAGGAAGGGAUGUGUGCUAAUAGUACACGUCAUUGACGUUAAAUACAGAAGAAGCACCGGCUAACUCCGUGCCAGCAGCCGCGGUAAUACGGAGGGUGCGAGCGUUAAUCGGAAUAACUGGGCGUAAAGGGCACGCAGGCGGUUAUUUAAGUGAGGUGUGAAAGCCCUGGGCUUAACCUGGGAAUUGCAUUUCAGACUGGGUAACUAGAGUACUUUAGGGAGGGGUAGAAUUCCACGUGUAGCGGUGAAAUGCGUAGAGAUGUGGAGGAAUACCGAAGGCGAAGGCAGCCCCUUGGGAAUGUACUGACGCUCAUGUGCGAAAGCGUGGGGAGCAAACAGG